rnacentral:rRNA from 1 species
GAUGAACGCUGGCGGCGUGCCUAAUACAUGCAAGUCGAGCGAACGGACGAGGAGCUUGCGUCUCUGAUGUUAGCGGCGGACGGAUGAGUAACACGUGGAUAACCUACCUAUCAUACUGGGAUAACUUCGGGAAACCGGAUCUAACACCGGAUGAUAUUUUGCACCGCAUGGUUCAAAAGUGAAAGACGGUCUUGGUGUCACUUAUAGAUGGAUCCGCGCUGCAUUGGCUAGUUGGGAAGGUAACGGCUUACCAAGGCAACGAUGCAUAGCCGACGUGAGAGGGGGAUAGGCCACACGGGAACUGAGCCACGGUCCAGACUCCUACGGGAGGCAGCAGUAGGGAAUCGUACGCAAUGGGCGAAAGCCUGACGGAGCAACGCCGCGUGAGUGACGAAGGUCCUCGGAUCGUAAAACUCUGUUAUUAGGGAAGAACAUAUGUGUAAGUAACUGUGCACAUCUUGACGGUACCGAAUCAGAAAGCCCCGGCUAACUACGUG